GGCCUUGUGGCGCAACGGUAGCGCGUUCGACUCCAGAUCGAAAGGUUAUCCGUACGUUCUCAACUCUCCACAGUACCA